GACGAACGCUGGCGGCGUGCCUAAUACAUGCAAGUCGAACGAGAGCGACCGGUGCUUGCACUGGUCAAUCUAGUGGCGAACGGGUGAGUAACACGUGGGUAACCUGCUCAUCAGAGGGGGAUAACAUCCGGAAACGGAUGCUAAAACCGCAUAGGUCUUCGAGCCGCAUGGCUUGAAGAGGAAAAGAGGCGCAAGCUUCUGCUGAUGGAUGGACCCGCGGUGCAUUAGCUAGUUGGUGAGGUAACGGCUCACCAAGGCCGUGAUGCAUAGCCGACCUGAGAGGGUGAUCGGCCACAUUGGGGCUGAGACACGGCCCAAACUCCUACGGGAGGCAGCAGUAGGGAAUCUUCCGCAAUGGACGCAAGUCUGACGGAGCAACGCCGCGUGAGUGAAGAAGGUUUUCGGAUCGUAAAACUCUGUUGUUAGAGAAGAACAAGUGCUAGAGUAACUGUUAGCGCCUUGACGGUAUCUAACCAGAAAGCCACGGCUAACUACGUG
rnacentral:rRNA from 1 species